UACCCGCAGCACAAGUGGUGGUCAUUAUUAUUGGGCCUAAAGCGUCCGUAGCUGGCUUGUUAGAUGCCUGGGUAAAUCGAUGCGCUUAACGCAUCGAAUUCCGGGUAGACCGGCAAGCUCGAGACCGGGAGAGGUGUAGGCUACUCGAGGGUAGGGGUAAAAUCCUGUAAUCCUUCGGGGGAGGACCAGUGGCGAAGGCGCUACACUAGAACGGCUCUGACAGUGUAGGGACGAA
rnacentral:rRNA from 1 species